rnacentral:rRNA from 1 species
AACGAACGCUGGCGGCAUGCCUAACACAUGCAAGUCGAACGAGACCUUCGGGUCUAGUGGCGUACGGGUGCGUAACGCGUGGGAACCUGCCCUUAGGUUCGGAAUAACUCCCCGAAAGGGGUGCUAAUACCGGAUAAUGUCUUCGGACCAAAGAUUUAUCGCCUUUGGAUGGGCCCGCGUUGGCUUAGCUAGUUGGUAGGGUAAAAGCCUACCAAGGCGUCGAUCCAUAGCUGGUCUGAGAGGAUGAUCAGCCACACUGGGAGUGAGACACGGCCCAGACUCCUACGGAAGGCAGCAGUGAGGAAUGGUGGACAACGGGCGAAGGACUGAUCCAGCGAUGCCGCGUGAGUGAUGAAGGGCGUAAAGUAGUAAAGCUCUUUUAACCGGGAUGAUAAUGACAGUACCGGGAGAAUAAGCCCCGGCUAACUCCGUG